GUAAGAUUCCUGUUGGAUCUUUAAAAAAAAAAAAUAUAUAUAUAUAUAUAAGAGGCUAUUGGUUUAACUAAAAUCAACAUUAAAAAGAAGAAAGUGGACAGUGAAGGUGAUGGCUUGUUCCGUGUUGAUGCAUGAGAUUCUUCAGAAUGAAACACCAUUUGAAUAAUAAUUACAUUUUUUCAUAGCUUCCUUGUUGGCAUCUGUGUAAGCUCCAUAAAACAUGUGUCGUACAUCCCUGAGGGAAGUGGAUUGUGCUAGGUACUAAUAAGGGAUUGAUUGGCAUUCCUGUUAAAGGGGGACACCCUGACUAAAUGGGAGAGAGGAACAAAAGGGUUGAGGAUGGAAAAAUAGAUGUGCCUGCCUUUGAGGUCUCAGAAAAGAACUUGUAAAUACCAAGAUCCCCAAAAUGGUGUUACUGAUGUAUAACAGAUGUGAACUAGAGAGCAAUAAAUCAAAGAGACAUUGAAUUCAUAUGGUUUUUAUUACAGGGAGUACUUAGAAGUCUUUGCUCAAUGUCAUCAGCCUGAGGUUAUGAGCCUUAGAAAAGCUCAUUCCCCCAAGAAUCUGUUUCUUUAUCUGCAUAGAAAAACAACACCCACUCUGCUGUGCUGCUGUGAGACGUGAAAAAACAGUUCAAUGUACAAGUGCCCAUCAGUCAAUAGAUGUUAGUGACGUAAAUAUAUUUCCUUUCUUGCCAUUCAUUCUAAUUUUUUUUUUUUUUGGUACCAGAGAUCGAACUCAGGUCCUUUCGCUUGCGCAGCAGGCGGUGAAACCACUGAGCUAAAUCGCUGGCCCUUCAUUCUGAUUUUAAUCCUUGUUUUGGAUGCUUACUCUUUGACGUCACUCUUAUUUAGCUUUUAUGUUUGCUGUUUGUUUGUUUGUUUGUUUUGAGACAGGGUCUUGCUAUGUAGUUCAGGCUGGAUUUAAUUCUUUAUAUAACCCAUGUGAUCCUUAAACUCAUGGUGAUCCUCCUGCCUCAGCCUCCUGUAUACUGGGAUUACACAUGUGUGCUAUUUACUCUUAUUUAGGUAUGGGCCUGCCCUGCUUUUAGACUUACUUUGCCUUGCUGGCUACAGCUGACUCUUGGCUUGGACUUGCUCUUCUUGAAAUUCUUUGCCCCAGAUUCCAGUUUCUGUUCCUACUGCUUUUCCUAAAUUUCUAAUUAAAUUCAGUCCAUAAGAAAUUUGAAGGUUGA
rnacentral:lncRNA from 1 species